UACAGAGGGUGCGAGCGUUGUUCGGAAUUAUUGGGCGUAAAGGGCGCGUAGGCGGCGCCACAAGUCACUUGUGAAAACUCUGGGCUCAACUCAGAGCCUGCAAGCGAAACUGUGGUGCUGGAGUAUGGGAGAGGUGCGUGGAAUUCCCAGUGUAGCGGUGAAAUGCGUAGAUAUCGGGAGGAACACCUGUGGCGAAAGCGGCGCACUGGACCAUAACUGACGCUGAGGCGCGAAAGCUAGGGGAGCAAACAGG
rnacentral:rRNA from 1 species